CAGUCAGAGGCGAUGAAGGACGUGCUAAUCUGCGAUAAGCGUCGGUAAGGUGAUAUGAACCGUUAUAACCGGCGAUUUCCGAAUGGGGAAACCCAGUGUGUUUCGACACACUAUCAUUAACUGAAUCCAUAGGUUAAUGAGGCGAACCGGGGGAACUGAAACAUCUAAGUACCCCGAGGAAAAGAAAUCAACCGAGAUUCCCCCAGUAGCGGCGAGCGAACGGGGAGCAGCCCAGAGCCUGAAUCAGUGUGUGUGUUAGUGGAAGCGUCUGGAAAGGCGCGCGAUACAGGGUGACAGCCCCGUACACAAAAAUGCACAUGCUGUGAGCUCGAUGAGUAGGGCGGGACACGUGGUAUCCUGUCUGAAUAUGGGGGGACCAUCCUCCAAGGCUAAAUACUCCUGACUGACCGAUAGUGAACCAGUACCGUGAGGGAAAGGCGAAAAGAACCCCGGCGAGGGGAGUGAAAAA
rnacentral:rRNA from 1 species